CGUAGGGUGCAAGCGUUAAUCGGAAUUACUGGGCGUAAAGCGUGCGCAGGCGGUUAUGUAAGACAGAUGUGAAAUCCCCGGGCUCAACCUGGGAACUGCGCUUGUGACUGCAAGGCUAGAGUACGGCAGAGGGGGGUGGAAUUCCACGUGUAGCAGUGAAAUGCGUAGAGAUGUGGAGGAACACCAAUGGCGAAGGCAGCCCCCUGGGUCGAUACUGACGCUCAUGCACGAAAGCGUGGGUAGCAAACAGGAUUAGAUACCCUGGUAGUCCACGCCCUAAACGAUGUCAACUAGGUGUUGGGUGGGUAAAACCAUUUAGUACCGGAGCUAACGCGUGAAGUUGACCGCCUGGGGAGUACGGCCGCAAGGUUA
rnacentral:rRNA from 1 species